rnacentral:rRNA from 1 species
UGCAGUCGAGCGGACAGAAGGGAGCUUGCUCCCGGAUGUUAGCGGCGGACGGGUGAGUAACACGUGGGUAACCUGCCUGUAAGACUGGGAUAACUCCGGGAAACCGGAGCUAAUACCGGAUAGUUCCUUGAACCGCAUGGUUCAAGGAUGAAAGACGGUUUCGGCUGUCACUUACAGAUGGACCCGCGGCGCAUUAGCUAGUUGGUGGGGUAAUGGCUCACCAAGGCGACGAUGCGUAGCCGACCUGAGAGGGUGAUCGGCCACACUGGGACUGAGACACGGCCCAGACUCCUACGGGAGGCAGCAGUAGGGAAUCUUCCGCAAUGGACGAAAGUCUGACGGAGCAACGCCGCGUGAGUGAUGAAGGUUUUCGGAUCGUAAAGCUCUGUUGUUAGGGAAGAACAAGUGCGAGAGUAACUGCUCGCACCAUGACGGUACCUAACCAGAAAGCCACGGCUAACUACGUGCCAGCAGCCGCGGUAAUACGUAGGUGGCAAGCGUUGUCCGGAAUUAUUGGGCGUAAAGGGCUCGCAGGCGGUUUCUUAAGUCUGAUGUGAAAGCCCCCGGCUCAACCGGGGAGGGUCAUUGGAAACUGGGAAACUUGAGUGCAGAAGAGGAGAGUGGAAUUCCACGUGUAGCGGUGAAAUGCGUAGAGAUGUGGAGGAACACCAGUGGCGAAGGCGACUCUCUGGUCUGUAACUGACGCUGAGGAGC